GACAGAGGUGCCAAGCGUUAGGCGGAAUCACUGGGCUUAAAGCGUGUGUAGGCGGAUGUCUAAGUACCUUGUGAAAUCCCACGGCUCAACCGUGGAACUGCUUGGUAUACUGGACGUCUUGAGCCAGCUAGGGGCUACCGGAACAAAUGGUGGAGCGGUGAAAUGCGUAGAUAUCAUUUGGAACGCCAAUGGUGAAAACAGGCAGCUGGGGCUGUGCUGACGCUGAGACACGAAAGCCAGGGGAGCGAACGGG
rnacentral:rRNA from 1 species